UCUCUUUCUCUCUCUCAUCGAUUCUUUUUUUUUUUUUUUUUUUUUUUUUUUCUCUUCGUUUAUUUUUUUUUUUUUUUU